CCUACGGGAGGCAGCAGUGGGGAAUAUUGGGCAAUGGACGCAAGUCUGACCCAGCAACGCCGCGUGAAGGAAGAAGGCUCUCGGGUUGUUAACCUCUUUUAAGGGGGAAGCGCAGAAGACGGUACCCCUUGAAUAAGCCACGGCUAACUACGUGCCAGCAGCCGCGGUAAUACGUAGGUGGCACGCGUUGUCCGGUGUUACUGGGUGUAAAGGGCGUGCAGCCGGAGAGAAAAGUAAGAUGUGAAAUCCACGGGCUCAACCCGUGAACUGCAGUUGAAACGGUUUCCCUUGAGUGUCGGAGAGGGAAGCGGAAUUCCUUGUGUAGCGGUGAAAUGCGUAGAUAUAAGGAAGAACACCAGUGGCGAAGGCGGAUUACUGGACGAUAACUGACGGUGAGGCACGAAAGCGUGGGGAGCGAACAGGAUUAGAUACCCUUGUAGUC
rnacentral:rRNA from 1 species